rnacentral:lncRNA from 1 species
UAUCUUGUCAUCACGUGCAUUGCAUUUGCAUACAUGUUCGUCUCAUGCAUUCAAGCAUUUUCCCCGUUGUCCGUUUUGCAUUCCGGCGCUUCGUUCUCCUCCGGUGGCCAUUUCUAGCUUUCUUUCGUUUGUGGGGAUUAAACAUUUCCGGAUUGGACCGAGACUUGCCAUGCGGCCUUGGUUUACUACCGGUAGACCGCCUGUCAAGUUUCGGGUCAUUUGGACUUCGUUUGAUACUCCAACGGUUAACCGAGGGACCGAAAAGGCCUCGUGUGUGAGCAGCCCAACACCCCUCCAUUUUGGCCCAAAACCCACCAAACUCAGCUCCAUUGUCUCGGUCGUUCGAUCACGAUCAUGUGGGCGAAAACCGCACCUCAUUUGGACUCUCCUAGCUCCCUCUAUGCCUAUUUAAAGGCCCCCAUUUUUCGGAUCCCGUCUUCCUCCCCGUCCUCCUCGAAAAAAAAACCUCAGAUCUCCCCUCCACCGCACCNNNNNNNNNNNNNNNNNNNNNNNNNNNNNNNNNNNNNNNNNNNNNNNNNNNNNNNNNNNNNNNNNNNNNNNNNNNNNNNNNNNNNNNNNNNNNNNNNNNNNNNNNNNNNNNNNNNNNNNNNNNNNNNNNNNNNNNNNNNNNNNNNNNNNNNNNNNNNNNNNNNNNNNNNNNNNNNNNNNNNNNNNNNNNNNNNNNNNNNNNNNNNNNNNNNNNNNNNNNNNNNNNNNNNNNNNNNNNNNNNNNNNNNNNNNNNNNNNNNNNNNNNNNNNNNNNNNNNNNNNNNNNNNNNNNNNNNNNNNNNNNNNNNNNNNNNNNNNNNNNNNNNNNNNNNNNNNNNNNNNNNNNNNNNNNNNNNNNNNNNNNNNNNNNNNNNNNNNNNNNNNNNNNNNNNNNNNNNNNNNNNNNNNNNNNNNNCCCGGCCGGCCUCGUCCCCGGCCCCCCUCGCCGCCGACCCCGCCGGCCGCCGCCUCGGCAUCCGCGCCACCGGCCGUGAACAGUAACUCCGGCGCCUCGGUUUCCGUGCCCGAUCCAGAUCUGGAUCUGGGAUAUUUUCGGUUGACUUUCUCCUCCCGAAACCCUAAUUUUCUUGCUACUUUGACCGCUCAUAUCUCCUCAUCCGUAGCUCCGUUUUGGGUGUAUGAUAUGUCAAAAUCUUCGUCUCGACGAGUACAUCAUUUCAUUCCAUUGCAUCAUUUGCAUUUGAGGUCAUCUUGUUGCCAAAAAUGCUGUUGGAAGGAGGCAUGUUGAGUUAAAUUGCAGAUCCAUUAGUUCAACAUGCACUUUUGUCAUUUUUGCCAUAUUUAAUCCGUGCAUGAUAUGCCUGUGCCCCUUUGGGAUGAAUUGUUAAGCAUGUUGUCUUCUUUCCAUAGGUGCCUUCCAUGUAUUUUUAGGAUGUGUGUGUUGUCUUGUGCAAGCUUGCGAAGAGGGCUACCUGAGAUUACAGAUUUCAGGGACUUGGUGAUUUUCACAAAGUCUGAGCCAUUUUAGUUCACGAUGCUAUAUGUCCGGCUUGUUUCCUAGUGAUCCGUGCCUCUUUUGAGGAUGAUCUGUAAGAGUGAUUUGUUAUGAUUGUUGUGCUUAAUCCAUCCAUGUAUUUACUUGUUAUGUUGGAGCACCCUAGGUUGACUCAAUCGAGCUCAACUUUUGGAAAGUUGCUGUUUUGGGCAGAUCGUAAACUCUUUUGCGAUUUUGCCGGAGUUAUUGCUAGUGAUCCAUGCAUGCUAUGCCAUUGUUCUUGCCAUGUCUAGCUAGCAUUUUGUGCCUUCUUAAUGGAUAUAUUCUUGCCUUGCCAUGACUUGCACCGUAGUGAGAGCAUCGAGCUCGUUUACACAGCUCCGUGAGUUAUUAUUUCAGCAUGUCCCAGUUUUCACUAAGUCUGAAAACUGAUUGUGUUUCAUCAAUGUUCGUGUGCUCGGUAGAGUAUUUUUGUGAACCCUUUUGGCCCCAGGUCAUUUUGGGUGUUUUGUUAAGCUUGUUGAGUAGCUCCAUGCCAUGCUCUUACUUGCCAUGUUCAGGUUUUCCUUCAUGUUGUUUUUCUGCUCCGAAGAGAGCAUCGUGGUCUGAAAUUUCAGACUAGCGUUAAUUUCGCUAUGUCUGAAAUAUGUUUUGCUUAAUCAGUUUUGCCAUGCUUGUUUGAAGCCCUUAAUGGAUGAAUUUGUCUAUGCCUCAGUCAUGAUGAUUUGUUAAGCUUGAUGAGUACAUCACUGCCAUGUAAUUUGUUUUCAUGUUGGGUGGCUGUAGCAUGGUCAUUUUGUUGCAUUUAGGAGCCUACUUGCUGUAAAUCGCAGAUCGGUUCGUUUAGUAAAACGCUUGCCAUUUCUAAACCGUAGCUCCGAUUGCCAUGAUCUUUAUAUCGUUUUCAGGGGAUUUCUUCCCCUCUAUCCAGUGGCACACUUGGAUUUCCAAGUUGAGGCCAGGUUCAUGCAUUUCCUGUUACAUGUUGCAUUUUGCAUCCCGCAUCGCAUCCCGCAUAGCAUAUCAUCUUUGCAUCUUAUUGGUUGCCUUUGCACGGGAUUGAUUGUAUCCUUGUUGCUUGUUUGUGUUGUUGGGUAGAGCCGGGAGACGAGUUCGCUAAUGAGGAGCCCGUUGAGUUUGCUUUUGAGGAUCCAGUCAAUUCUGACAACUGUGCAGGCAAGAUGAUCACACCCUUGAAAUCACUUCUAUCUUUGCUAUGCUGGUAUGCUCGCUCUUUUGCUUUGCCAAUGCUAGGAUGCCUACCACUUGCUUGUCAGCCUCCCAAUUGCCAUGAUUGAGCCUCUAACCCACCUUUGUCCUAGCAAACCAUUGAUUGGCUAUGUUACCGCUUUGCUCAGCCCUUCUUAUAGCGUUGUUAGUUGCAGGUGAAGAUUGGAGCCGUUCCUUGUUGGAACAUUUAUUUACGUGUUGGGAUAUCAUUAUAUUGCUAUGUUAUCUUUACUCAUCUAUAUACUUGGUUAAGGGUGGAAGGCUCGGCCUCUCGCCUAGUGUUUUGUUCCACUCUUGCCGCCCUAGUUUCCGUCAUAUCGGUGUUAUGUUCCCGGUUUGUUGCGUCCCUUACGCGGUUGGGCUAUAAUGGGAACCCCUUGAUAGUUCGCCUUGAUGAAAGCUUUUCCAGCAAUGCCCAACAUUGGUUUUACCAUUUGCCACCUACCUUUUUCUUUCCCUUGGGUUUCCGGAGCCCGAGGGUCAUCUUUAUUUUAGCCCCCACGGGCCAGUGCUCCUCUGAGUGUUGGUCCGAACCAGGCAGCCUGCGGGGCCACCUCGGGGAAACUCGAGGGUUGGUUUUACUCGUAGCUUGACCUAUCCGAGCGUGCCCUGAGAAAGAGAUAUGUGCAGCUCCUAUCGGGAUUUGUCGGCACAUUAGGGCGGCGUUGCUGGACUAGUUUUGACCUGUCGAAUCAUCUUGUUGUACCGGGAUACCAAGUCUGAUCGGUGGGUCCUGGGUGGAGGUCUAUUCCUUCGUUGACCGUGAGAGCUUGUUAUGGGCUAAGUUGGGACCCCCCUGCAGGGAUUGAUCUUUCGAAAGCCGUGCCCGCGGUUAUGGGCAUAUGGGAAUUUGUUAAUGUCCGGUUGUAGACAACUUGAACUUAAUUAAUUAAAAUGAAUCAACUGCGUGUGUUGCCGUGAUGGCCUCUUCUCGGCGGAGUCCGGGAAGUGGACACGACGUUGGAGUUAUGCUUGCGUAGUCUACUCUAUUUAGUUUCCGCUCGUGCUUUGCCUUCUCUUCUCGCUCUCCUUUGCGAAUAAGUUAGCCACCAUAUAUGCUAGUCGCUUGCUGCAGCCCCACUACAUUACCCCUUCCUUACCUAUUAAGCUUUGAAAGUGCGUUAUAUCGACUAGAGGGGGGGUGAAUAGGCGAUUUUUAUGAAAGUCUUCAAAACGUGGAAGUUAUGAAGACAACCAGUGAAGAUAUGCCUAUCACUAUGCAGCGGAAGUUAGAUUACACAAGCAAGCUAAGGUCAAGUAUUCAAUAGAGUGAAAGCACAGCAACAAUAGCUUCAGUGUAAUUAGGAUCAGGUAGGAAGAAGUUAUGAAGCCAAUCAAAUCAUACAGUUAUGUUGUGAAGACAAAAGAUAGAGCAAGCAUGCAAUGGCUUCUCAAUGAAUAACAGUAAGUUGAAGGGAAGUGAAGAUGAAACCAGUGACACGUUGAAGACAAUGAUUUGUUGGACCAGUUCCAGUUGCUGUGACAACUGUACGUCUGGUUGGAGCGGCUAGGUAUUCAAACCAAAGGACACACAGUCCCGGACACCCAGUCAAGGACACUUAGUCCAAGACACCCAGUCCUCACCGUAUUCUCCUUGAGCUAAGGUCACACAGACCUCGCCCAAUCACUCAGGUAAGUCUUCAAGGUAGACUCCCGAACCUUCACAGACUUCGUUCACCGGCAAUCCACAAUUACUCUUGGAUGCUCAGAACGCGACGCCUAACCGUCUGGAGGAUGCACAGUCCUCAAGUGUAAUAAGUCUUCAGAUCACACAGACAAGAAGACUUAAGUGAUGCCCAAUUUACUCUGGCUCUGGGUGGUUAGGGCUUUUCUCCUCGCUAGGGAUUUUCUCUCCAAGGCUUCGAGGUGGGUUGCUCUCAAACGACAAAAGCCGUGCACUGAAAUCUGAGCAGCCAACCGUUUAUGGUUGUGGGGGUGGGCUAUAUAUAGCCACUUGGCAACCCUGACCUGAUUUGUCCGAAAUGACCCUGGGUCACUAAGGAACUGACACGUGUACUAACGGUCGGAUUUUGAACUCUCGCGGCAACUUUACUUGGGCUGCAAGUAAAGCUGACUUGUCUGACUCUGGACAAGAUUUUUCUCUCAUUGUCUUCACUUGAAGACAUAGGAUUUGAAUUAGGCAUCACUUCAGUCAUCCUGACUGGUUUUCUUGGACCCCACUUAACAGUACGGUGGUUCCUAUGACACAACAUGAAUAAAGUAAAGCUACGAAAGAUCUAAGUCUUUGAGUUCCAAAAGCUUCAUGGGGAGUCUUCAUAUGUCAUUGUCUUCGACAUGAAUGUCUUCAUGAACCACCAUUGUCUUCAAUAUCUUCAUACAUUUUUGGGGGUCAUCUCUGGUAGCUAAACCGAAUCAAUGAGGGACUUCUACCUGUGUUAUCCUGCAAUUCUCACAAACACAUUAGUCCCGCAACUAGGUUUGUCGUCAAUACUCCAAAACCAACUAGGGGUGGCACUAGAUGCACUUACAAUCUCCCCCUUUUUGGUGAUUGAUGACAAACUAGUUGAAGUUUUCAACGGGGAAUAUAAUUUGUGAAAUUGUAAAGGAAUUGUCUUCAUAAGCAGCAAUGGCUCCCCCUGAAGAUGUGCAUGUUAAGUGAUUUGCUUCUGGAAUGCAAAUGCACACAACAGGUUGUAUUUGUGGGAAUCCGCUUCAACUUAUGAUGACAAUCCAUCAUGCACGUAAAGAUAUAUGAAGAUAAUGAUAUGCAUAAUGAAAAAUGGACGUCUGCGAAAUGAUAAGAGUGCGGAAAUUAUCGUCGUACAUGCGGAAUUUAUCUUCGCAAGAACACAGUAGCAGACGACCAUCAAGUUUAAGUGUUACAACUCAAAGAACCAAAAGUAGCAAAACGAGAGUUGUAAACACGAAGCAAAAUGCAAAAUAUAAAGCACCCGCCCAUAUUAUUGACCCGCUUGAAGACUAUAAACAUCAUAUGCUUCUCCCCCUUUUGUCAGUGAUGACCAAAAAGGUUUGAAGACAUAGAGUUUUCUAUGCGUUCCCAGGCGCAGCAGGGUCGGUGGAGGCGUUUGGUGGUGCAGGUGAGCUUGGUGCAGUGACGACGCGCGCUGAAGACAUCGGUGGUGAUGUAGCGUCGUCUUCUUCUUCAAUGAUCUUGGCAGAUACUGUGGCAGCAGAAGAAGAAAAAUCCGAAUCUUCAAGAGAUGGUGUGCUUCGCAUCACAGCUCUUCUGGGAGGUGUGGUAUCAAACUUGAAAUGCUCUUUGAAGCCAUCCUCAUGAAGAUCAGCUUCUGGGCACAUCAUGGUGAGACCUUUCCAGGUGCGGCGACAGGUUUCGUGUGCGACGAAUGCAUUCUUGGUUGCCAGAUUGCGGAUGCGAUUGACGUCUUUCAUGAUGCACUUCAUCUGCCUCUUGAGCCAGUCGUGAUGCCUAUCUUGCUUUUGAUGCAGAGCCACAAGAAGUUCACGAUCAGUGAGUGUACGAGCUCGUUUCUUGGGUCUCUGCCCAGCUUCGCUGUCAGUGGCUUCAGUGGAUGCAGGGGCACGUGUGGUGCCAGCCAUUGGAUAGACUCUGGAAAUGGCUUCAACACCUUCAUCAUGUGGAGUGAAGCUUUGGUGUUCUGCAUUCUGAAGACUUAGUGGCUGUUUGGCAGGCUCAGGAUAAAUGGCUUCAGCUGAGGUGUCCACAUCUGGUAAGAAGAUCCUGUGGUUGCGGGCUGAGGGCUGAUAGGAGAUUGCAGAGUGAAGCUUAAUCAGCCUCAUCACCCAGGGAGCAUAGAUCUUCAAUCCAAACAAUUCUGUGGCUGACGCUGCAAGUUGACGGAUGAAGAGAUCCUGUGCGUUGAAGCAUUUGCCAUGCAUAAUACAGAAGAUGAGAGUCUUCAUGGCACCUUCAAGCUUGGCAUACCGAGAGUGUCCCUUAAUGGGCCAGAGAGUCCGCCUUAUGAUAUGAUAUAUGGUUCUGGGCAGGUACUCUAAGUCUUCAACGAAGAACUCAGUUGGAUAAGGUGCAUCAUGUGCCAAUGGCUUCAUCAUGGAGAGCAUCUGACUCAUAUUUGGUUCUGGACGCUUAAAUAUGCUCUCAGUUGCUUCAGCAUGGAGUUGGCAUCCUUCUUCAAAGAAUUCGCCAGGAGUGGGAAGGCCAGUAAGCUCAAUGAUGUCGAAAGCUUUGGCUUCAUGAUGGACAUCUCCUGUCAUCCACUCCAGGACCCAUGUCUUCGGAUCUCGGUUGUAGCCUUUUAUAUGCAGAGUGGCAUAGAAUUGAAGCAUAAGCUCUUCGUUCCAGUGCUCUUCGUCAGUGAUGAAUGGCAGUAGACCCACUUGCCUGAAGCAAUCAAUGGCUUCUUCCAAACCAGGCAGACCAGCAACAGCUUCAACCUCAAGGCGCUGGUGGGGAAAGAUGCGGCCUUGGUUGUAUAGAAUGCAUGAAUAGUAGCUGCGCUGUUGAUGGCUCCAGAACCUAUCUGAUGCAAUCUGUGCCCUUGAAUAAGGGUUCGCGGAGCUGUUGAAGAAAGUGUUGUCUGCCCUGAAGUUGUUGAUGUUGAAGGAACCAGGAGCUGAAGCAGGACCUGGGAACCUUGGCAGUCGUGGAAUUGGCUUCUGAACCUGAGGCCUGUGCGCAAUGUGAUAGUUGAAUUGCGGGCCGGCAGCAGACUCUGGUGCAGAAGGUUCAGGGUCAGCAGUUUCAGUAUGAUCUGAAGCUAUUGUCGGAGAGGGCUCCACAUUGGCUUCAGCAUUGUGUGUGGCAGCCUCAAUGUUUUCAUCCUCAGCACGUGCAGUGAGAGGAACGGACUCAGGCACGUUCUCCUGGAGAACGGCCUCUUGUUGGGGUGGUGGAGUUGGAGCUUGGGGUUCCUGUGGUGCUUUCUCAUUGUCUUCGGCUGGUGCAGCCGGAAUGUCGUCAGCAGCUUGAGCCCUUGGUCCUCUGCGAAGCCUACGGAAUGCAGGCGAUGCUGGUGGAGUUGCAGUGGUCUGGGGCUCAUCCUCUUCCUCCUGUGGGCGAUCUUCCCACGAUGCAUCUUGUGUGAUUGGCGUCAAGGGACGACCAAUGCUGAGCAAUUCACUCGAUUCGAGCUGAGGAAGGACUGCAUCAUCUUGUACAUUGUCUUCGAGACCAAUGUCUUCAGCAGCGGUGGGGUCGGCUGCUGGAAUGUCUUCAUCACGCUGAGCCUCGGUGAGAGCAGGCUCAUGGACGGUCAGCUGACGAUCUUCAUUAGGACGGUGAACGGAAAGGGGUUCAACCAUCAAGGGCUCUGUGGGAGCAGCCCGAGACUUCUUGGACUUGCGCUUCUUGGCGGUGGGAUCUGAAGGAGAGGCUUCAAAGUGUUUCCUCUUCCUUGCUUUGGCUUCGGCUAUCCUUGUCUUCUUAAGCUCUGAAGCGGGUGAGCGCUUUGGCUUCGAGCUAGGCUUGGCGGUGGGGAAGACAAUUGGAAUAGCUUCUUGGCGUGGGGCCUCUUCUUCAGCCACGGUGGGCGUCUUCUUUUUCUUGGCGGCCAUCCGGGGGUCGAUGCCGGGACGCCCAAGUGCCUUUCGCUUUUCGGCCUCGUUGUAGGCCUGUACGCAGAGAUCAGCCAAAUGCUUCAUGCGCUCGCGGGAUCCCUGAGCCUCUGCACGUUUCUGCAUGAAGUUUUCCUUCAGUUCAUGCAGCAUGACCUUGAAGUCUUUGAUCUCCUGGACGCUGAGCGUGGCCAUGUUUUGCUUAAACUAAGCCUUCUCAAAAUCUAUCUUUUGCUUCAGUUCCACGAUGCGCUGGGCAAUAGCGAGUUCUGAAGCGAUAGCUCCUUGGAAGGCCACGCUGAGGCCAAUGGGCAGCUGCAGAUCGUCAAAGCUGAUGUUGGGCGUGUCAAACCACUCAUCUAUGAAGCUGUGGAUGAUCUUUGCAUCGAACAGAGGCAGAUCGUUGAAGAUUUCAGCCUCCUCCUUGCUCUUGAUGAGCUGCUCAAGAGCGUCAUCACCAAGAUCUUCGUCACUGGACAGAUCAAUGUCUUCGCAGCGAAGAACGGCAGCGACAAUUAGCUCUUUGCUGGUGUGUGGCUGUGGUUUCUUUGCAUCUUGAGGCUUGGAGACUCUUGAUAAGCCUUCAGACUGCACACUGGCUUCAGGAGGUGCAGUGGCCAAUGGCUUCGCUUUGGAGAUCUUGGGGGAGGCGACUGGCUUGGAAGCUUUUGGCUUCUUCUUCAUCUGCUUUGGCUCUGGGGCAGCAGGAGCAUCAUCAGACUCAGUGUCUGCUGGAGGGUCGUUCACGGUAGUCCCUUGGACUAUAAUGUGAGUGAUGAGGCCGUCGAGAUUGGCAAAUGGCCCGAUGACAUUGGGAUUAGCGUCGCGUGUGCCAUCUGCUCUUGGUUUGGAGGGACCAGGGUUGAAGUCCAAUCCAAACUCCUUCUUGUUUUGCUUCGCAGAGUUCUGGGCAAAUUGGAAGUUGCGCUUGAAAAGAGUGUCAUCGCGACACCAGAGAAGGGACGAUGGAUGUGCAUCAGCUGGCUGAUGUCCCCUAACCAUGCAUGGAAAGAAACCUUGAGCUAUGGCUUCGUCUCUGGUUCGGGGUACAAGAUUCUUGUACAAGGCAUCUCCCCAUGGCCGCUUGAUGGCGCACUUCUCUGCAUAUUCUUUGGUGACGAAGCGGUAUAGGAACCACUGCUCCGCCCAGUACCUGCGAAUCCAUUGGAUUCGUGUCUUGCGCUGAGCAUAGGUUUCUUCAGGAUCUGUUUGGUACGUUUCUGCCAAAUCUGCAGGCAGAUCCUUUGAUGUGUCACCCCGUCUCUGUCUGCCUCCCUUCCUUGAUGGUUUCUCGGAUGCCAUGAAGCUUAACUUGGAAGGCUUCAAAAGCUUCAAAGGCUUCAAAGCUUUCAAAGGCUUCAAAGGCUUCCUUUUGCUUGACCAACAUGAACUUGCUUCAGGUGAAUUGAUGUGACGCUGUAGGAAUUCUGCAAAUGAAUGCAGACUAUGAGAACCAAAAGAUUCUCCCACGGACAUGUACCUGUGACAGCAUUAAGGUGCGAGGGAAGGGGAAGAGGUCAUAUGCAUUCUCAGAAGAUUUUGAAGAUAAAUUCGUUUAGAAGACAUUGACCUCAUUAUGCGAAGACAUUCACUUAGAGAAAAGAAGUUGGUUCCAGAUUUGUACGAACCCAUAGAUAAGUACAAGUGAGGAAUCUAACUACUUCAGGAUGCACAAGUGAAGAUUCUAGGCAGUUUAUGAGAUGCAGACUGAGAGAGAUGUUACUUGUGAUAGCAGUAAACUUCUUAUGGAAGAGAAUGACUGAGCUAUAGGAUCAAAAGAGGCAGUAAAAAGGGGUUUUAAUUACCACACUUGGAACUGCUAGACGAAGUGGGAUUUGAGGCCGAGCAGUUCGAUCCUCCGUGCCCUAACUUGGCGACGGAAGACACCUACGGCGACGGCGGAGAGGUUGAGGUCCGCGGUCGGCGUGAAAACGGCGUCGGAGAGGUUGCGGCAGUGAAGCGCUUCGUCGCCGGCGUCGUCUAGGGCUAGCGGUGGCGCUAGGGUUCGUGCGAGCGAGGGUGGAAGAAGAAAUAGUGACCGCUGUGAAUCGUGUACUUAUAGGAACAGAGGCGGCAUUGCGCUAUUACUUAGGUGCCCCGGGCGGUUCGCAUCUGAACAGCACGUGGCCAUCAUGCGGAAUCUCGGGGGCAGUUCCACAUCCCACGUUCGCCUGGACUGUCGGGCGGUCGUUCCUACUUCUCCGGAGCAUUGAAAACGGUUUUAAAGUUUGUCUCUUUGUCUUCAACUGACUAGGGUGCAGUGAAGACAUUCGACAGUUUCAAUAGAAUGCAUACGACUUGGAGAGAUAGAGUUUGAGGUAGGAAGCAUGGAGAGGUUAGGGUCCGAUCACGUUCACUUAGUUCAAAAGAUUCAAACAAGAAGACAUAGCUAUAAGUGAAUGCUGUAGAGGACAGAACACCAGUGCAUAUGUAAUCAACAUAGUGAAGAUAAUCAUGAAGACAUGUUGGGAUUGAAGCCAAACUAAAUGUGAAGACAUUGCGAGGUAACGCCAUGAAUGAAACACUUCAAAUAGAAUGGUUGGUGGUGGCGUUACCCACCGUAUAGGAAGUAUUAGACCCAGACACGGCGCACAAUUAUCGUGGCGCUCCGAAGUCUAUUUCCGCAUUAAUGUAUUCACACUUAGAGUGUAUGUCUUCAUUGAUUGAAGAUAUACGUUACUUCGUGUGUUGCACACCUAAGUCGUCAAUAUGCAUAAGUGUUAGGAUGUGUGCCUGAUCACAGGACAUUUGAGGAUUCCAAGAUAUUUAGCUCACACCGUAACUUGCAAAACCUCUUCUCAUCCAAGGGCUUGGUGAAGAUAUCUGCCAAUUGAUCUUCAGUGUUGACGUGUAUGAUAUCAAUAUCUUCCUUUGCCACAUGGUCUCUGAGAAAAUGAUGACGAAUUUCAAUGUGCUUUGUCUUCGAGUGCUGAACUGGGUUGUUGGCGAUCUUGAUGGCGCUUUCGUUGUCGCAGUAAAGUGGCACUUGCUUUAGAUGAAUGCCGUAAUCCUUGAGGGUUUGCUUCAUCCAUAGAAUCUGAGCGCAGCAGGAUCCAGCAGCAAUGUAUUCAGAUUCAGCAGUGGAGAGAGAUACACAGUUCUGCUUCUUUGAAGACCAACAGACAAGAGACCGGCCCAGGAAAUGACAUGUGCCUGAUGUGGACUUCCGAUCAACCUUGUCACCAGCGUAAUCAGCGUCCGAAAAUCCAACCAGAUCAAACUCUGAGCCCUUUGGAUACCAUAACCCUAGAGUUGGUGUGUGAGCCAAAUAUCGAAGAAUUCGCUUCACUGCUAAGUGAUGCGACUCCUUUGGUGCCGCUUGAAACCGAGCACACAUGCAAACACUAAGCAUAAUAUCUGG